AUUGAACGCUAGCGGGAUGCUUUACACAUGCAAGUCGAACGGCAGCGCGGACUUCGGUCUGGCGGCGAGUGGCGAACGGGUGAGUAAUGUAUCGGAACGUGCCCAGUAGCGGGGGAUAACUACGCGAAAGCGUAGCUAAUACCGCAUACGCCCUACGGGGGAAAGCAGGGGAUCGUAAGAACUUGCACUAUUGGAGCGGCCGAUAUCGGAUUAGCUAGUUGGUGAGGUAACGGCUCAUCAAGGCGACGAUCCGUAUCUGGUUUGAGAGGACGACCAGCCAAACUGGGACUGAGACACGGCCCAGACUCCUACGCGAGGCAGCAGUGGGGAAUUUUGGACAAUGGGGGCAACCCUGAUCCAGCCAUCCCGCGUGUGCGAUGAAGGCCUUCGGGUUGUAAAGCACUUUUGGCAGGAAAGAAACGUCGCGGGCUAAUACCCCGUGGAACUGACGGUACCUGCAAAAUAAGCACCGGCUAACUACGUG
rnacentral:rRNA from 1 species